UGGUCCGGUAGUUCAGUUGGUUAGAAUGCCUGCCUGUCACGCAGGAGGUCGCGGGUUCGAGUCCCGUCCGGACCGCCAU
rnacentral:tRNA from 1 species